CUCAUUAGACUGUCUACUCAUUAGUUCAGUAGCCAGUAGGUCUGUUUGUGCCUCAGUGUUCAGUGAUGUUUGUAUAUUAUUAUAUAAUAUAAUUGUUGAGAUUUGUUAUUGAAUAAAUACUGCACGAGAGUUUGAGACCUUUCGAAAUUAAACCAGCUGUGUAAUUGGAUACGUAAAUUUCAAUCUGAGGAUAAAAUAUAACAAUCCAUCUACCAUACAGCUCUGAAGAAUUUUCUCCUUCCGCUGUCAGAACAUACCGGCACUACCCCCCAAAGACAUAUUUCACGAUUGCCGCCAUCUCUGCAGCCAAAGCUAAUGGCGAUGCCUUGUCAAGAUGAAUAUACUGGAAACUGCAGAUUUAUUUGGAAUUGCAAAACAAAUGGUCAAUGUGUGAAGUGGCGUCCUUGGAGAAAUCAAUGCUACCGAAGUGGUCAAGAGCAAGACGAGAAUUGGAUGUAAUUCCCUAUCUCGGAAGGGGAUAUGCAUUGUUGACAAGAAGUGGAUGUGCGAUGGAAAGAGUUUAAGGCAGCCAACCAGGCAAGAGAAACUUCCGGAGAGGAAGAGGAAUUGGUAUAGGUGGUUACGAGAUUAAGGUUGUCCUUCAAAAGUGACUUGACCAAAUGAAGUGAAUUUGGCACCCAUAGAAGAAAAUUAUAACAAAUGCAGAAACCAUUGCAGCCACAUGAGAAUCCCAAGCAUAAAGCCACCUAGCGUUCAGGGGAGAUGAAUGCAGAGAUUAGCAACAGUAGUAAAGUAAUUGUAGAAUUUACACCAGAGAAAACUUGCAGGUGUAAUGAGCAAGCGAGAAAAUUAAGUCAACUUAAGAAUUCGAAAUGAUGAGCUGUGAAGGAAUUAAUCCAAGUAAGGUAAAUUUGGACACAAGAGGGGCUAAGCAAAGAAUAGAAGCUCUUUAAAAAUAUGCAGCGCAGCAAGAGAAGACAAGGUGCCAAGCAAGGAAUUUAUGAAUCGAAAAAAUUAAGACUAAGGGGCCAAGCAAGGAAUUUAUGUAUUGGAAAACUUAGGACAAGGGGGCAAGAAAGGAAUUUAUGUAUCGGAAAAAGUAAGACAAAGGGUUAAGCAAAGAAUUUAUGUAUCGGAAAGAAUAAUCUGCAUCAGAAUUGAUCAGAAUGAUUAUUAUUCAUUCACUGUAUUUUGAUUUAAAGCAAAAUAUUCCAAGGCAAAUAAUACAUUU